CCUUCCUACGGGAGGCAGCAGUGGGGAAUUUUGGACAAUGGGCGCAAGCCUGAUCCAGCAAUGCCGCGUGAGUGAAGAAGGCCUUCGGGUUGUAAAGCUCUUUUGUCAGGGAAGAAACGGUAGAGGCUAAUAUCCUUUGCUAAUGACGGUACCUGAAGAAUAAGCACCGGCUAACUACGUGCCAGCAGUCGCGGUAAUACGUAGGGUGCAAGCGUUAAUCGGAAUUACUGGGCGUAAAGCGUGCGCAGGCGGUUUUGUAAGUCUGUCGUGAAAUCCCCGGGCUCAACCUGGGAAUUGCGAUGGAGACUGCAAGGCUAGAAUCUGGCAGAGGGGGGUAGAAUUCCACGUGUAGCAGUGAAAUGCGUAGAGAUGUGGAGGAACACCGAUGGCGAAGGCAGCCCCCUGGGUCAAGAUUGACGCUCAUGCACGAAAGCGUGGGGAGCAAACAGGAUUAGAUACCCUGGUAGUCCACGCCCUAAACGAUGUCUACUAGUUGUCGGGUUUUAAUUA
rnacentral:rRNA from 1 species